AACGAACGCUGGCGGCAUGCCUAACACAUGCCAGUCGAACGAGACCUUCGGGUCUAGUGGCGCACGGGUGCGUAACGCGUGGGAACCUGCCCUUAGGUUCGGAAUAACUCCCCGAAAGGGGUGCUAAUACCGGAUAAUGUCUUCGGACCAAAGAUUUAUCGCCUUUGGAUGGGCCCGCGUUGGAUUAGCUAGUUGGUAGGGUAAAAGCCUACCAAGGCGACGAUCCAUAGCUGGUCUGAGAGGAUGAUCAGCCACACUGGGACUGAGACACGGCCCAGACUCCUACGGAAGGCAGCAGUGGGGAAUAUUGGACAAUGGGCGAAAGCCUGAUCCAGCAAUGCCGCGUGAGUGAUGAAGGCCUUAGGGUUGUAAAGCUCUUUUACCCGGGAUGAUAAUGACAGUACCGGGAGAAUAAGCGCCGGCUAACUCCGUG
rnacentral:rRNA from 1 species